rnacentral:rRNA from 1 species
UACGUAGGGGGCUAGCGUUGUCCGGAAUCAUUGGGCGUAAAGAGCGCGUAGGCGGCUAGAUAAGUCCGGUGUGAAAGUCACAGGCUCAACCUGUGAAUGCCGCUGGAAACUGUCUGGCUAGAGUCCGGAAGGGGCGAGUGGAAUUCCUGGUGUAGCGGUGAAAUGCGCAGAUAUCAGGAGGAACACCAAUGGCGAAGGCAGCUCGCUGGGACGGUACUGACGCUGAGGCGCGAAAGCCAGGGGAGCGAACGGG